CGGCAAGAGCUCAAAUUUGAAAUCUGGCGCAAGCCCGAGUUGUAAUUUGUAGAGGAUGUUUCGGCCACGGCUGCGGUUUAAAUUCCUUGGAACAGUAUGUCAAAGAGGGUGAGAACCCCGUCUGGAACCUCAAGCCGUGUCCAUGUGAAACUCCUUCGAC
rnacentral:rRNA from 1 species